UACGUAGGGUGCGAGCGUUGUCCGGAAUUAUUGGGCGUAAAGGGCUCGUAGGCGGUCUGUCACGUCGGGAGUGAAAACACGGGGCUUAACCCCGUGCCUGCUUCCGAUACGGGCAGACUAGAGGUAUGCAGGGGAGAACGGAAUUCCUGGUGUAGCGGUGAAAUGCGCAGAUAUCAGGAGGAACACCGGUGGCGAAGGCGACUUACUGGACACAUAUUGACGCUGAGGUGCGAAAGCGUGGGGAGCAAACAGG
rnacentral:rRNA from 1 species